rnacentral:misc_RNA from 1 species
AACGCAACUGGCGCCGGUUUACCGGCAUGCCUGUUUCCGUGUGCUUGGAGAGUAAACUAUCAUUCUAAAAAAUAAUGCGAUUGCGGUAAAUUUAUUGUCUUCUUUCGUUAAAUAUGAAGGUGUGAAAGAUCAGUAAUCACUCACUCUGGAAAACGAAGUAGUCAUGCUUAUUCGUGAUCUCGUUUAACAAGUGCUAAAGGUUAUUGCUUAGCUAUAAAUCCCAUCUAAUCAAUAAAAUAUCUCCAAGAAUAGCAUCUGAAAUCAGAUAAGGAUACCCGCUGAGCUUAA